rnacentral:rRNA from 1 species
UUUAUUAGACCAAAACCAAUCGGACCCCGGUCCGUGUAUGGUGAAUCUGAAUAACUUUGCUGAUCGCAUGGUCCUCGCACCGGCGACGCGUCUUUCAAGUGUCUGGCUUAUCAACUGUCGACGGUAGUUUAUACGACUACCGUGGUUGUAACGGGUAACGGAGAAUAAGGGUUCGACUCCGGAGAGGGAGCCCGAGAAAUGGCUACCACAUCCAAGGAAGGCAGCAGGCGCGCAAAUUACCCACUCUCAGCUAGAGGAGGUAGUGACGAAAAAUAACGAUGCAGGACUCAUAAUGAGGCUCUGCAAUUGGAAUGAGAACAAUCUAAAUCCUUUAACGAGGACCGAUUGGAGGGCAAGUCUGGUGCCAGCAGCCGCGGUAAUUCCAGCUCCAAUAGCGUAUAUUAAAGUUGUUGCAGUUAAAAAGCUCGUAGUUUGAUUUCUGGACGGGCGCCAACACCCGCUUGUUUAGUGUGGAGGCGGCGCCCGCCCAUCCUUCUGUUAACGCCACCGGCAUUCAUUUGCUGGCGGCGGGCUCAGAUAUUUUACCUUGAGAAAAUUAGAGUGUUUUCAGGCAGG